UACGUAGGGUGCGAGCGUUGUCCGGAAUUACUGGGCGUAAAGAGCUCGUAGGUGGUUUGUCGCGUUGUCCGUGAAAACUCACAACUCAAUUGUGGGCGUGCGGGCGAUACGGGCAGACUGGAGUACUGCAGGGGAGACUGGAAUUCCUGGUGUAGCGGUGGAAUGCGCAGAUAUCAGGAGGAACACCAGUGGCGAAGGCGAGUCCCUGGACAACUUCUGACGCUGAGGCACGAAAGCUAGGGGAGCAAACAGG
rnacentral:rRNA from 1 species